CCCUUAGAUGUUCUGGGCCGCACACGCGCUAAACUGAAGGAGGCAGCGUGUACUCCUGGAUCGAAAGAUUUGGGUAACCCGCGAAUCUCCUUCGUGCUAGGGAUUGAGGUUUGCAAUUAUCCUUCAUGAACGAGGAAUUCCCAGUAAGUGCAAGUCAUAAGCUUGCGCUGACUACGUCCCUGCCCUUUGUACACACCGCCCGUCGCUACUACCGAUUGAAUGAUUUAGUGAGGACUUCGGACUGGGACCGAUGCGGCUUUCGGGCUGCGUCGGUAUUCUGGAAAGAUGUCCAAACUGUAUCAUUUAGAGGAAGUAAAAGUCGUAACA
rnacentral:rRNA from 1 species